GCCCUUGUGCCAGCAGCCGCGGUAAUACGUAGGUGGCAAGCGUUGUCCGGAAUUAUUGGGCGUAAAGCGCGCGCAGGCGGAUUGGUCAGUCUGUCUUAAAGGUUCGGGGCUUAACCCCGUGAUGGGAUGGAAACUGCCAAUCUAGAGUAUCGGAGAGGAAAGUGGAAUUCCUAGUGUAGCGGUGAAAUGCGUAGAUAUUAGGAAGAACACCAGUGACGAAGGCGACUUUCUGGACGAAAACUGACGCUGAGGCGCGAAAGCCAGGGGAGCGAACGGGAUUAGAUACCCCGGUAGUCCUGGCCGUAAACGAUGGGUACUAGGUGUAGGAGGUAUCGACCCCUUCUGUGCCGGAGUUAACGCAAUAAGUACCCCGCCUGGGGAGUACGACCGCAAGGUUGAAACUCAAAGGAAUUGACGGGGGCCCGCACAAGCGGUGGAGUAUGUGGUUUAAUUCGACGCAACGCGAAGAACCUUACCAGGUCUUGACAUUGAUGGACAGAACUAGAGAUAGUUCCUCUUCUUCGGAAGCCAGAAAACAGGUGGUGCACGGUUGUCGUCAGCUCGUGUCGUGAGAUGUUGGGUUAAGUCCCGCAACGAGCGCAUCCCCUAUCUUAUGUUGCCAGCACUUUGGGUGGGAACUCAUGAGAGAGUGCCGCAGACAAUGCUGAGGAAGGGGGGGAUGGGGUCAAAUCGUCAUGCCCCUUUUGUCAUGGGCUACACACGUUCUACAAUGGGAGUUAAUAGACGGAAGCAAUACCGCGAGGUGGAGCAAACCCGAGAAACACUCUUUCAGUUCGGAUGGUAGGCAGCAACUCGCCUACGAGAAGUCGGAGUCGCUAGUAAUCGCAGGUCAGCAUACUGCGGUGAAUACGUUCCCGGGCCUUGUACACACCGCCCGUCACUC
rnacentral:rRNA from 1 species